AUUGAACGCUGGCGGCAUGCCUUACACAUGCAAGUCGAACGGUAACAGGUUAAGCUGACGAGUGGCGAACGGGUGAGGAAUAUAUCGGAACGUGCCCAGUCGUGGGGGAUAACGUAGCGAAAGCUACGCUAAUACCGCAUACGAUCUACGGAUGAAAGCGGGGGAUCGCAAGACCUCGCGCGAUUGGAGCGGCCGAUAUCAGAUUAGGUUGUUGGUGAGGUAAAAGCUCACCAAGCCUGCGAUCUGUAGCUGGUCUGAGAGUACGACCAGCCACACUGGAACUGAGACACGGUCCAGACUCCUACGGGAGGCAGCAGUGGGGAAUUUUGGACAAUGGACGCAAGUCUGAUCCAGCAAUGCCGCGUGCAGGACGAAGGCCUUCGGGUUGUAAACUGCUUUUGUACGGAACGAAACGGUGAGCUCUAAUACAGUUGCUAAUGACGGUACCGUAAGAAUAAGCACCGGCUAACUACGUGCCAGCAGCCGCCGUAA
rnacentral:rRNA from 1 species